rnacentral:rRNA from 2 species
GGGUUGUGAGGUUAAGCGACUAAGCGUACACGGUGGAUGCCCUGGCAGUCAGAGGCGAUGAAGGACGUGCUAAUCUGCGAUAAGCGUCGGUAAGGUGAUAUGAACCGUUAUAACCGGCGAUUUCCGAAUGGGGAAACCCAGUGUGAUUCGUCACACUAUCAUUAACUGAAUCCAUAGGUUAAUGAGGCGAACCGGGGGAACUGAAACAUCUAAGUACCCCGAGGAAAAGAAAUCAACCGAGAUUCCCCCAGUAGCGGCGAGCGAACGGGGAGCAGCCCAGAGCCUGAAUCAGUGUGUGUGUUAGUGGAAGCGUCUGGAAAGGCGCGCGAUACAGGGUGACAGCCCCGUACACAAAAAUGCACAUGCUGUGAGCUCGAUGAGUAGGGCGGGACACGUGGUAUCCUGUCUGAAUAUGGGGGGACCAUCCUCCAAGGCUAAAUACUCCUGACUGACCGAUAGUGAACCAGUACCGUGAGGGAAAGGCGAAAAGAACCCCGGCGAGGGGAGUGAAAAAGAACCUGAAACCGUGUACGUACAAGCAGUGGGAGCACAGAGCAAUCUGUGUGACUGCGUACCUUUUGUAUAAUGGGUCAGCGACUUAUAUUCUGUAGCAAGGUUAACCGAAUAGGGGAGCCGAAGGGAAACCGAGUCUUAACUGGGCGUUAAGUUGCAGGGUAUAGACCCGAAACCCGGUGAUCUAGCCAUGGGCAGGUUGAAGGUUGGGUAACACUAACUGGAGGACCGAACCGACUAAUGUUGAAAAAUUAGCGGAUGACUUGUGGCUGGGGGUGAAAGGCCAAUCAAACCGGGAGAUAGCUGGUUCUCCCCGAAAGCUAUUUAGGUAGCGCCUCGUGAAUUCAUCUCCGGGGGUAGAGCACUGUUUCGGCAAGGGGGUCAUCCCGACUUACCAACCCGAUGCAAACUGCGAAUACCGGAGAAUGUUAUCACGGGAGACACACGGCGGGUGCUAACGUCCGUCGUGAAGAGGGAAACAACCCAGACCGCCAGCUAAGGUCCCAAAGUCAUGGUUAAGUGGGAAACGAUGUGGGAAGGCCCAGACAGCCAGGAUGUUGGCUUAGAAGCAGCCAUCAUUUAAAGAAAGCGUAAUAGCUCACUGGUCGAGUCGGCCUGCGCGGAAGAUGUAACGGGGCUAAACCAUGCACCGAAGCUGCGGCAGCGACGCUGAUGCGUUGUUGGGUAGGGGAGCGUUCUGUAAGCCUGUGAAGGUGUGCUGUGAGGCAUGCUGGAGGUAUCAGAAGUGCGAAUGCUGACAUAAGUAACGAUAAAGCGGGUGAAAAGCCCGCUCGCCGGAAGACCAAGGGUUCCUGUCCAACGUUAAUCGGGGCAGGGUGAGUCGACCCCUAAGGCGAGGCCGAAAGGCGUAGUCGAUGGGAAACAGGUUAAUAUUCCUGUACUUGGUGUUACUGCGAAGGGGGGACGGAGAAGGCUAUGUUGGCCGGGCGACGGUUGUCCCGGUUUAAGCGUGUAGGCUGGUUUUCCAGGCAAAUCCGGAAAAUCAAGGCUGAGGCGUGAUGACGAGGCACUACGGUGCUGAAGCAACAAAUGCCCUGCUUCCAGGAAAAGCCUCUAAGCAUCAGGUAACAUCAAAUCGUACCCCAAACCGACACAGGUGGUCAGGUAGAGAAUACCAAGGCGCUUGAGAGAACUCGGGUGAAGGAACUAGGCAAAAUGGUGCCGUAACUUCGGGAGAAGGCACGCUGAUAUGUAGGUGAAGUCCCUCGCGGAUGGAGCUGAAAUCAGUCGAAGAUACCAGCUGGCUGCAACUGUUUAUUAAAAACACAGCACUGUGCAAACACGAAAGUGGACGUAUACGGUGUGACGCCUGCCCGGUGCCGGAAGGUUAAUUGAUGGGGUCAGCGCAAGCGAAGCUCUUGAUCGAAGCCCCGGUAAACGGCGGCCGUAACUAUAACGGUCCUAAGGUAGCGAAAUUCCUUGUCGGGUAAGUUCCGACCUGCACGAAUGGCGUAAUGAUGGCCAGGCUGUCUCCACCCGAGACUCAGUGAAAUUGAACUCGCUGUGAAGAUGCAGUGUACCCGCGGCAAGACGGAAAGACCCCGUGAACCUUUACUAUAGCUUGACACUGAACAUUGAGCCUUGAUGUGUAGGAUAGGUGGGAGGCUUUGAAGUGUGGACGCCAGUCUGCAUGGAGCCGGCCUUGAAAUACCACCCUUUAAUGUUUGAUGUUCUAACGUUGACCCGUGAUCCGGGUUGCGGACAGUGUCUGGUGGGUAGUUUGACUGGGGCGGUCUCCUCCUAAAGAGUAACGGAGGAGCACGAAGGUUGGCUAAUCCUGGUCGGACAUCAGGAGGUUAGUGCAAUGGCAUAAGCCAGCUUGACUGCGAGCGUGACGGCGCGAGCAGGUGCGAAAGCAGGUCAUAGUGAUCCGGUGGUUCUGAAUGGAAGGGCCAUCGCUCAACGGAUAAAAGGUACUCCGGGGAUAACAGGCUGAUACCGCCCAAGAGUUCAUAUCGACGGCGGUGUUUGGCACCUCGAUGUCGGCUCAUCACAUCCUGGGGCUGAAGUAGGUCCCAAGGGUAUGGCUGUUCGCCAUUUAAAGUGGUACGCGAGCUGGGUUUAGAACGUCGUGAGACAGUUCGGUCCCUAUCUGCCGUGGGCGCUGGAGAACUGAGGGGGGCUGCUCCUAGUACGAGAGGACCGGAGUGGACGCAUCACUGGUGUUCGGGUUGUCAUGCCAAUGGCACUGCCCGGUAGCUAAAUGCGGAAGAGAUAAGUGCUGAAAGCAUCUAAGCACGAAACUUGCCCCGAGAUGAGUUCUCCCUGACUCCUUGAGAGUCCUGAAGGAACGUUGAAGACGACGACGUUGAUAGGCCGGGUGUGUAAGCGCAGCGAUGCGUUGAGCUAACCGGUACUAAUGAACCGUGAGGCUUAACCUUACAACGCCGAAGCUGUU